rnacentral:rRNA from 1 species
GACGUAGGGGGCCAGCGUUGCUCGGAAUUACUGGGUGUAAAGGGUUCGUAGGCGGUGUGGCAAGUCGGGAGUGAAAUCUCUGGGCUCAACCCAGAGUCUGCUUCCGAAACUGCUGUGCUUGAGUGUGGGAGAGGCGCGUGGAAUUGCAGGUGUAGCGGUGAAAUGCGCAGAUAUCAGGAAGAACACCCGUGGCGAAAGCGGCUCUCUGGAACGGUACUGACGCUGAGACGCGAAAGCGUGGGGAGCGAACAGG